rnacentral:rRNA from 1 species
UCCUUAGAUGUCCUGGGCAGCACGCGUGCUACAAUGAUGCAUUCAACGAGUCUUGCCUUAACCGAAAGGUUCGGGUAAACUUUUGAAAUUGCAUCUUGUCGGGGCUUGAUCAUUGUAAUUUUUGAUCACAGACAAGGAAUUCCUUGUAAAUGUGAGUCAUCAACUUGCAUUGAAUACGUCCCUGCCCUUUGUACACACCGCCCGUCGCUUCUACCGAUGAAUGAUCCGGUGAACACUCUGGACUUGUUGUCUGUCGGAGCAAUCCAAAGACGAUAGGGAAGUUGUGUAAACCUUAUCAUUUAGAGGAAGAAGAAGUCGUAACA